AACGAGGUCCAUUCUGUAGCAAUACAGAGGAAGACCUAGUGGCGAACGGGUGAGGAACACGUGAGGAACCUGCCCCGAACUUUGGGAUAACAGUUGGAAACGACUGCUAAUACCGAAUGCCGUUACGAAGUGGCAUCACUUUGUAACGAAAGAAUUUCGGUUCGGGAGGGCCUCGCGGCCUAUCAGCUAGUUGGUGGGGUAAUGGCCUACCAAGGAAUCGACGGGUAGCUGGUCUGAGAGGAUGAUCAGCCACACUGGGACUGAGACACGGCCCAGACUCC
rnacentral:rRNA from 1 species